rnacentral:rRNA from 1 species
GUGAGUGUCGGGUUAAGUCCCGCAACGAGCGCAACCCCUAUCCUUAGUUGCCAUCAGGUAGAGCUGGGCACUCUAGAGAGACUGCCGGUGACAAACCGGAGGAAGGUGGGGAUGACGUCAAAUCAUCAUGCCCCUUAUAUCCUGGGCUACACACGUACUACAAUGGCCGGUACAAAGGGCGGCGAAGGGGCGACCCGGAGCAAAUCCCAGCAAAGCCGGUCCCAGUUCGGAUUGUAGUCUGCAACUCGACUACAUGAAGGCGGAAUCGCUAGUAAUCGCAGGUCAGCAUACUGUGGUGAAUACGUUCCCGGGCCUU